UGGGGAAUAUUGUACAAUGGGCGCAAGCCUGAUCCAGCCAUGCCGCGUGAGUGAUGAAGGCCCUAGGGUUGUAAAGCUCUUUCACCGGUGAAGAUAAUGACGGUAACCGGAGAAGAAGCCCCGGCUAACUUCGUGCCAGCAGCCGCGGUAAUACGAAGGGGGCUAGCGUUGUUCGGAUUUACUGGGCGUAAAGCGCACGUAGGCGGACUUUUAAGUCAGGGGUGAAAUCCCGGGGCUCAACCCCGGAACUGCCUUUGAUACUGGAAGUCUUGAGUAUGGUAGAGGUGAGUGGAAUUCCGAGUGUAGAGGUGAAAUUCGUAGAUAUUCGGAGGAACACCAGUGGCGAAGGCGGCUCACUGGACCAUUACUGACGCUGAGGUGCGAAAGCGUGGGGAGCAAACAGG
rnacentral:rRNA from 1 species